GAAUUUCGAAUUCUUUGAAUCGAUAUGUUGUCGAAUACGUUCGCUGAUGCUUUCACGCGUCGCAAUCGCAAGCAUGUUAUGCAUUUUCAGAGGCCGAGAUUGCAAAAGUUGGUGUGUCUAGAGAUACUCCCAAUUCCAGCCUGGGGCAGAACUUCGUUCCAUGGCAGCCGGGACCAACGUGUUCGAGAUUCCUGCAUCGGAUCUAUCGAAGGAUCUUUGACCCCAUGGAACAACCGGAGUUCUAUAGUGCGAAUGUAAUGCCUAGCCUCUGGCACCAUUACUUCCGCGUCAGUUAACCAAUAUUAAUGUGAUAAGCGAAAUCGGACGCGUGCCAGAACAGUCGAAGCAGAGAUCUACAAUCCCAUGAGCAUAAGGAAGGCAAUCUGCAACUUCACUCGACGAAAUGCAGGCAGUAUACUAGAUUUUAUUACAAUAAAACAAAUAUAGUUGCAUUACUAGAUAUAAAAUUCAACAUAAAAUAGAAUCGUUGCAUUUUACCAGUAAAAAUAAGGGAAAAUAUUUCAUGUGGACGUACUUAUAGUCGUAAAUAUUUUACUAUGAGAAGAUUAACAAUAAAUUGACGAUAUUUACUU